rnacentral:sRNA from 1 species
UAGUUGAUUAGUUAAAAUAAGUCUAAAUAAUUUACUAAGUAACUAUAUAGAUCUUACUAGCCGGAAUCAGCCAGAAAAGCCAAUCUCAACGACUUUAACCCACCUUUAUUUUUACUUCAGUUCAAUUUAAAAUGCUGGCAAAGAAACAAAGUGGUUCCCCUUCUUUAGAGAUCUACAAAUGCACAAUACCAGUCGCACAUGUUUCACAGGUCACCAGUGUUAUGGGGUGUGUGUGUUUCUAUGGUAAUGGUGGUAAGAGAUAAUGCUCUGUCAUGGACUUGAAAGGACCUAAUGAUAAAAGAGAUAAGCUACAUCACUUGAAGAGACCCUAAGAAACUGGUCAACAGAUAACUUGUGAUCUCCUUAAAUUUAAACGAAAUACAGGCAUGUUUGAGUUUCUUCUCAGUGUUGUGUUGUUUGAACUGCAGAUCACAAAGCAUUUGAUUUCAUUACAUUUGGUUUUUAAGACUAUAAUGUUUA